rnacentral:rRNA from 1 species
GGGGAUAUCUCGGGAAACUGAGGAUAAUACCCCAUAGACCACUACGCCUGGAACGGUGAGUGGUUGAAAGCUCCGGCGGUGUAGGAUGGGUCUGCGGCGUAUCAGGUCGUAGGGGGUGUAAUGGACCUCCUAGCCAUCGACGCGUACGGGUUGUGGGAGCAAUAGCCCGGAGACGGAUUCUGAGACACGAAUCCGGACCCUACGGGGUGCAGCAGGCGCGAAAACUUCACACUGCAGGAAACUGUGAUGAGGGAACUCCAAGUGACUGCACAAUGUGUAGCCUUUUCUUGAAUCUUAAUAGUUCUUGGAAUAAGGGCUGGGAAAGACCGGUGCCAGCCGCCGCGGUAAUACCGGCAGCUCAAGUGGUCGUCGCUUUUAUUGGGCCUAAAACGUCCGUAGCCUGUUUGGUAAAUCUGUGGGUAAAUCAACGAGCUUAACUCGUUGAAUUCUGCAGAGACUGUCAGACUANGGACCGGGAGAGGUAUGAGGUACUCUGGGGGUAGGGGUAAAAUCCUGUCAUCCUCAGAGGACCACCUGUUGCGAAGGCGUCAUACUGGAACG